rnacentral:rRNA from 1 species
CCCGCUGAACUUAAGCAUAUUACUCAGCGGAGGAAAAGAAAACAACCGUGAUUCCCUCAGUGAGCGGCGAGCGAAGAGGGACGGAACUCGAUGCCGAAUCGGGCCUCAAGGGCCUUUGAGUUGUGGCACAAACGCCGCCUUGUGCGUGGUGUGGGAUUGGCGAAAUUCGAUGUGCAAAGCAAACCCAUUGCUGAACGCAACCUUUCAUGUGAGUAUUGAGCCAAAGAAGGUGUCAGCCCAUUGAGCCAAAAACCCGAGCACCUCAUUAGGCGGAACCAAGAGAGUAGCGCUUCUUGGGAGUGAAGCGUCAAGCGGCAGGUAUAUGUCUGCCAAGGUUAAACACAGAGUGGGAAGACCGAUAUCGAACAAGUAGCGUGAGCGAAAGUUUGAAAAGCACUUUGGAAAGAGAGUGACAUAGAACCUGAAGUCGUGACAAUGACACGGAAAGUACCUCCAUUUUACUUGCAACGCCAAAACCAGCCUUACAGCAUCAUCCUCAGCGGGCUUUAGCACCGUCGGGUCCUGGCAUCUGUCAGGCCACCCGAUUUGACUGGGGCAACGAGUGCGGAAAAGAGGCUUAUGGUGAAAUGAGUGGGGAUAAAGCGGGGUGCACAGCGUCAAAACCUGCGAGGCCCUUGCUUCCCCAUGAUACUCAAUGUUGGCGAACUUCACUGGAAAUGGGGUGCCUUCACCCGUCUUGAAACACGG